CAAAACAAAACAAAACAAAAGACUCUGAACGCUUAUUUCCCAGAAAAUCUCCAGGAGUGAUAACUUUGAAGUGAUUCUGAUCUGGGGCAAUGACCCAAGGUGCCUCUCAUUGGAGGUUCAAUCAGGAUCAGAAACUCUGUACUUACGUAGGGUUUUAGUGGAAAGGAUAGGGAGGGAGCCCAAAGAGGCGAACAUCUGAGUCGGAUCAGGCUUUUCUUCAUUGACUCACAGCUGGAGCAAGUGGGUCAUCACCAGGGCCUCCCACGAACACACAGCCAAGCGCCGAGCAGCAAACGCACGUGCGCAAAGUGGGCUGGGGCAACUCAGCGCCUGGGAGGGCGACCACGGACACCCACUCCCGUCCUCUUCCAAGGUACGAUGAUGCAGGUGCUGUGCCCCGAUGGUUCAGAUGCUCGGGAAGACAGAAAUGCAGGUUAGAAAAGGCUGUGGCUUCCACCUUAGCUGCUCUUUGUGAGGAAGCUGGCUGCCAUCUGGUAAACUGCCCUACCGAGAGGCCCACGUAGCAGGGAAGUGAAAUCGCCAGCCAAGAGCCAGGAAGGACCUGAGCUCUGCCAACUGCCACGUGCAUGAGCCUCCCCCAGGGGAGCCCUGAGGUGACACAGCCCCUCCGACAUCGUGACCGUCGCCUGUAAGAGACCCCAAGUCUGAAGCACCCAGCUGGGAUGCUCCUGGAUUCCUGACCCCCAGAAACGGGGAUAAUUAAGUAAGUUUAGAGUCUGCUUGCUCAUCCCUCCCAGACAAAAUGAUGGAAUCUCACCUGGAAGCUGCUACAACCAGGAAAGGUUAAAGAAGGGUGUUUAUUAGACAUGCAUGAUCCCAGCUCCCCAGAAUGGAGCACAAGUGCUUCAUUUCUACACAAGUGGCAGAAGCCAGAGCAGAGUCAUCUCAGAACUGUGAGAGCCUGGAGAUGGGAUAUCUCAAAGUUUACCAGGAGGACCAGAAGCACUCAAAGUAUGUGGAGGUCAGAGCAGUGGCUAUGAAAGAGUCCAGGCGGACUAGGGCAUCAGGCAGCCGAGGGCAAGGCAGGCAGCAUGUCUGGGAUCCAAGAUGACAGGAGAUUCAAAACAGGGCACCACAACUGACACUGCAGAAAUACAAAGCAUCAUAAAAGACUAUGACAAGCAACAAGAUGCUAAUAAGAUGGACAACCUAGAAGAAAUGGACAAAUUCUUAGAAACGUAUGAUCUUCCAAAAAUGAGUCAGGGAGAAAUAGAAAAUAUGAACAGAUCAAUCACAAGUAAUGAAAUUGUUGGAAGUUUUAAAAUCACCGUUUCAAACAAAAGUCCAGGAUCAGAUGGUGUCACAGGCGAAUUCUAUCA